UGGGGAAUCUUGGACAAUGGGCGAAAGCCUGAUCCAGCCAUGCCGCGUGAGUGACGAAGGCCUUAGGGUUGUAAAACUCUUUCGUCGGGGACGAUAAUGACGGUACCCGAAGAAGAAGCUCCGGCUAACUUCGUGCCAGCAACCGCGGUAAUACGAAGGGAGCUAGCGUUGUUCGGAAUCACUGGGCGUAAAGCGCGUGUAGGCGGGUCGUUAAGUUGGGGGUGAAAUCCCGAGGCUCAACCUCGGAACUGCCUUCAAAACUGGCGACCUGGACCUAAGUAGAGGCAAGUGGAAUUGCGAGUGUAGAGGUGAAAUUCGUAGAUAUUCGCAGGAACACCAGUGGCGAAGGCGACUUGCUGGACUUAUGGUGACGCUGAGGCGCGAAAGCGUGGGGAGCAAACAGGAUUAGAUACCCCAGUAGUCCCUGAG
rnacentral:rRNA from 1 species